UACGAAGGGGGCUAGCGUUGUUCGGAAUUACUGGGCGUAAAGGGCGCGCAGGCGGCUCUUCAAGUCAGAUGUGAAAGCCCCGGGCUCAACCUGGGAACUGCAUUGGUGACUGGCAGGCUUUGAGUGUGGCAGAGGGAGGUAGAAUUCCACGUGUAGCAGUGAAAUGCGUAGAGAUGUGGAGGAAUACCGAUGGCGAAAGCGGCGCGCUGGAUCCCGUACUGACGCUGAGGCACGGAAAGCCAGGGGAGCAAAGCGGG
rnacentral:rRNA from 1 species